ensembl:lncRNA
GUUUGUGAGUGUCAUGUAAUAUCCAACCAAGGGUCUUUUAAAAUAAAUAGCUGGAGAUGUUUAUUGAACCAGUAGAGUUGGGUUCUUUUCUUUCUCAUGUGAAGUACCUUUUUGAUAGGAUUGGCAAUUUAAACCUCCCUCCACCCUGACCCCAGUUGAGUCAACGAGACUGCAGAUUUCUUGACUGAAGCCUCUGGACUCCAGAGUGCACUGAGGAAAACAGCAACCAUGACAUUUCUCCUCUUUCUCAUCUCAAUAAAUCCCUGUUAAAAUAAAUACAGCAAGUUCCCACCUCCACGAAACUCUGAAAACCCUCGGGAGUGAUGGCACAUCUUUCUGAUGAUCGUCGGCUUUGUCACAAGGAGAGACAACAUCACAGAAGCUGCGCUCAUCAAGGACGGCCCAGGCAGAGAUUCUCAAGGACGACAUGCCUAAACGAUGCCCCACAGACUCGGAGCGGACUGCGCAGUGACCACAGGCAGCUUGUGCGGCUCAGGAGCCCCUUCUGGCCAAGCCCCACUGCCUGCUGUUCUGAAGACCUGCCCUGCACACCCCCGACUCGCCCCAGCUGGAUGGGAGUGAGGACGUGCUGACCGGUGUCCCCGCCUCAGUCCCUUCCAGGUGGAGCCAGGCUCGUCCUGGCUCGGCAGGUGAGUCCCCCUGCCGCUCCUUAGGGGCGGCCCUGACCGCCCACCAACCCUCCCCACAGCUGUCUGCAGACCCCCUCCGCACCCCUUCUAUUUAGUCCAAGCCCCAGGCCCGGGUUGGCCUCUGGGAGCCUCUGAGCGCACGCAGGACAGGCUAACCCCUGGGCCCCAUCUCCAGGGCCCUGCAGGACUGCACGGGAAAUGACAAAACUCGCCCUCUCGGCACAGCCUGAAACUCUUCUCCAAGUGAUUCUGCCGUAGAGACCACUCCGACCCCAGGCCUUCACCCCUCCCAGCGCCGAGGGGGGACGUCCGUCAGGAACAAGCCUCGUGCCCUUCACAAGGUCACCCAGACCACUGAGGCGGGGUCUGCCUCCAUGAACCAGGAGGGGCCGUCAGCUCAAGGUGAGACCAGGCGCCGGCAUCUCUGACUCCCAUUUUCUAACAAGCUCAACGAGUCUACUUGCAGGGACGGUUCUGUUGAGAUGACAAACACUUGCAGGGGUGUUUAAAGAAGAAGAGAUAGAAACUCGGCCCCCGUGUGCGGUUCCCCCACUUCUCACUUCAGAGCUGCUCCCUCGGGCCGGGCCCUCCCCUCCCAGGGCCCCAGGUGAGCCGGACCCCACUGCCCAGUCAUCACCCACAGUUGGCCUUGAUUGACUGUACACAGAAGAAGAAAUAUUAAAGGAGUGGGGGGAAAGGGCCGCCGAAAUGGGUGUGUUUGCUUUUUUCCACUUAAAUCAUAUUGGGUUGAGGAGGAGCAAUUAUGGAAAACAGCGGGGAAGCGAGCUUUUCUUGUAACCGUUCCCAUGGCUCUCCGAAUCCCCCCCAGAGGAACUGGCGGUCCCCACAGAGGCACAGAAGCUGCUAAAAUCCCGGGUGGUCUGAGUCCAGCUUCGUGGCCCCCAGCGUUCUGAGAGUGACUGCAUGUGUGGCUGUUACCAGC